rnacentral:rRNA from 1 species
GUCUACGGCCAUGCCACCCUGAACAAGCCCGAUCCUAUCUGAUCUUGUAAGCUAAGCAGGGUCAGGCCUGGUUAGUACUUGGAUGGGAGACCACCUGGGAAGACCAGGUGCUGUAGGCA